rnacentral:lncRNA from 1 species
CAAAACAGUGAACCAGAGGGGAGAGAGACAGUGGCUGACAAGUGGGGUCUGCUGACAGACGGGACCCACGCGACAGAGAGACAGAGACAGGGGAGAUAUCGUCGCCGGCGAAACUCAACGACGGCGAGGUCUCGGUCGAAUCCAAGGGCACCAUCGUGACCCUCUCACCAAGGUGGACCUGCCGAGGUGCGAAACCCUAACUCUACCGAGCUCUAGGGGGCUCGGC